rnacentral:rRNA from 1 species
UAAUACGUAGGUGGCAAGCGUUAUCCGGAUUUACUGGGUGUAAAGGGCGAGUAGGCGGGAUUGCAAGUCAGAUGUGAAAACUAUGGGCUCAACCCAUAGACUGCAUUUGAAACUGCAAUUCUUGAGUGAUGGAGAGGCAGGCGGAAUUCCGAGUGUAGCGGUGGAAUGCGUAGAUAUUCGGAGGAACACCAGUGGCGAAGGCGGCCUGCUGGACAUUAACUGACGCUGAGGCGCGAAAGUGUGGGGAGCAAACAGG